UACGUAGGGUGCAAGCGUUGUCCGGAAUUAUUGGGCGUAAAGAGCUCGUAGGCGGUCUGUCACGUCGGCUGUGAAAACCCGAGGCUCAACCUCGGGCCUGCAGUCGAUACGGGCAGACUAGAGUACUGCAGGGGAGACUGGAAUUCCUGGUGUAGCGGUGAAAUGCGCAGAUAUCAGGAGGAACACCGGUGGCGAAGGCGGGUCUCUGGGCAGUAACUGACGCUGAGGAGCGAAAGCGUGGGGAGCGAACAGG
rnacentral:rRNA from 1 species